GAGUGUUGACUAGCUCCUAAUGUGACAGCAAAGUAAAGAUAAACACUGCAAAGGAGAACUAGUAGAACAAGAGCUGACAAGAGUGAUCCCGUGCCUCUCCAUGAGUGUUGACCAACUUCCCAGCUCAUUCUUAAUUAAGAAGGUGCUAACAAUUUGAGUCUAUAAACAACUUACCAAGCGUAACCUCGCUUCUGGAAAGGUGGUGCCUCCUGCAGUGUGAAGAGAGGUACCUCGAGUUGAUUUUCUAGCAGCUGUAUUUCUCACCUGUAAUUUCCUAUAGGCAUCAGUGUCCCAACGUCUCAUCAAUUCACCAAGAACUUCUGGUGGGAUCCAAUAUGGACGGGCUCCUUUUUUGCGAAUGGCAUGGAGCAUACCUCGUAGGUGCUUGGCUGCCCUGAACCUCCAAGCUUGAUAGAUGUCAUCCUCUUCUGUAUCAAGAAUGUCAAAGCAUUUCUAUUUUAAAAAAGAAAUAACAUCUUGCUAUUAUAUAACAUACUAUAAUAUAUAAGAUUGUAAAAUACGUAAAAAAAGAUAGAUAAAAUUUACCCUC